rnacentral:rRNA from 1 species
UCCUACGGGGCGCAGCAGUAAGGGAUAUUGGUCAAUGGGGGAAACCCUGAACCAGCAACGCCGCGUGAGGGAAGACGGUUUUCGGAUUGUAAACCUCUGUCCUCUGUGAAGAUGAUGACGGUAGCAGAGGAGGAAGCUCCGGCUAACUACGUGCCAGCAGCCGCGGUAAUACGUAGGGGGCAAGCGUUAUCCGGAUUUACUGGGUGUAAAGGGAGCGUAGACGGUGAGACAAGUCUGAAGUGAAAGCCCGGGGCUCAACCCCGGGACUGCUUUGGAAACUGCCUGACUGGAGUGCUGGAGAGGCA